UACGAAGGGGGCUAGCGUUGCUCGGAAUCACUGGGCGUAAAGGGUGCGUAGGCGGGUCCUUAAGUCAGGGGUGAAAUCCUGGAGCUCAACUCCAGAACUGCCCUUGAUACUGGGAGCCUUGAGUUCGGGAGAGGUGAGUGGAACUGCGAGUGUAGAGGUGAAAUUCGUAGAUAUUCGCAAGAACACCGGUGGCGAAGGCGGCAUCCUGGACCGGCAUUGACGCUGAGGCGCGAAAGCCAGGGGAGCAAACGGG
rnacentral:rRNA from 1 species